rnacentral:rRNA from 1 species
UACGUAGGUGGCAAGCGUUGUCCGGAUUUACUGGGCGUAAAGAGCGCGCAGGCGGUCGUUCAAGUCGCGUGUGAAAGCCCCCGGCUCAACUGGGGAGGGUCACGCGAUACUGAUCGACUCGAAGGCAGGAGAGGGUAGUGGAAUUCCCGGUGUAGUGGUGAAAUGCGUAGAUAGUCAAGUGGAACACCAGUGGCGAAGGCGAGUCUCUGGACAUUUCCUGACGCUGAGGCACGAAAGCCAGGGGAGCAAACGGG